AUGCCAUGGUGUGGACAUUUUCUCAGUAACUCCUUGAAUCGUGUGAAAGCUUCAUGAAAUGUCUCCCUAGAAUGCUGUUGGAAAGCCCUUAUUGCUUCCUGAGCUU
rnacentral:snoRNA from 1 species